rnacentral:lncRNA from 1 species
AUGGCUUUUGACUUUGGGUUAAGUUUGUUUUUUGGGGCAGGUAGUAGUGACAGCAAAGACAAACAGCUAUGAGCAAUUGUCUUAGGAUCUUUGAAAUGAUUCCUCUCUUAAAUUUUUUAGUCAGGUACUGUUUUUUUAAUCUAGCUCCUGCAUAAGUGAAGUUGUACUCUUAGUUUGUGUUUUCCGACAGUUUUCAUUGAUGAAAAUGCACUUUAUCCUUUUGAUGUCCUUGGGACCGACAAGUUAUCAUCAAUGUAACUCAUGAGUAUGAAACUUCACUUUAAUGUGCAGAAUAUAUGUCGAAAAACAAUGAGUGACUUCUUAUAACCGUAGAAAAUUAGUAAAAUGAAAAGACGCGUGAUUUGGGAACAAAGAGUAGUUUAGUCAUCUAAAUCUUUAAAGCUAUACUAUAUCAUAAAAGUGGAUCUUUAUAAACCUUGCAAUUCAUAUAUUUGUCUUCAUUACUUGGUAAUUUUUUUUUAUGUCUGGAGCUAUUUUAAGUUGUAAAAUUAAAUUCUAACAGGCAGACAGGCUACAUUGUCCUAACCUUCACACAAGGUAACCCCCUUUCCCCUGUUAAACUUCUCAUUUAUAUAUUGUUGUUUGUUUGAUUUCUGGUUAAUCAAACCAAGUGUGUAUCUAGAAGUUUUUAAAGAUAAAAUAUAUCUUAACGUUUCAAAAAAGACACCAAAAUGAGUGAUAAUAGAAAAGAACAAGCAUACAAAUAGAUGGAUGGCAAAAUUUGGAUUGGUUAAAGUUGUGAAGUGUGUUAAAGGUAGCGUUUUCAUAACAUUUUCGCAUUUUCAUGUUUAAGUUUGAACUUUAUUUUGAACAUACGCUUGCUAUACUUUCUCAUUAGUGAAUUUUAUAAAUCGAGUUUGUGUUAGAGUGGAGUUGACUGCUUUAUCCUUAUACAACAUUUAUGAUAAUCAACCUAGUAGUAUUUUCCUUCUUGUGGUACAAAGAGGUAGGAUGCUAUUAGAUUAUCUACUUAUUUGUUUUUCAUUAAUAAUGAUGUGGCUUCUUAUGUCUAUGAAGAAUUAUAUGGUUUGUUGUACGUAGUAAUACUGUUUCAUGGUGAGUCUUUAUAGCUGUAUACGUUGAACAUCGAGUUGUUGGAAAGAAAUUUUUAUUUGCUUGAGGUUGAUAGAAAAUUAGGAACUCCUAUCAUCACUAUGCUUUCCAUUUUUGCUCCAUGUUUUGGCUGGUUUAGCGGGCUACUUCUUACAAAUGAAAUGAUACUUUUCAGGUUUUGGUACAUCAAUGGUAGUGCAAAGAUCACAUUUUCAAGAGUUUACGUCAAAGAUUUUUAUACCUAAACCAAAAAUUAUCAUAUACAUAUGCUGGUAGAUUGACCAUUGGAUGGUCCUUGCAUCUUUUAGCUUUAUUUAUUUACCGAUUAAAUUUGUCAUGCCAUUAUAAUACUAUAUUUUAUUUUUUAGAACAUGUGAAGAGAAC